rnacentral:rRNA from 1 species
CUACACAUGCAAGUCGAGCGGUAGCACAGAGAGCUUGCUCUCGGGUGACGAGCGGCGGACGGGUGAGUAAUGUCUGGGAAACUGCCUGAUGGAGGGGGAUAACUACUGGAAACGGUAGCUAAUACCGCAUAACGUCGCAAGACCAAAGUGGGGGACCUUCGGGCCUCAUGCCAUCAGAUGUGCCCAGAUGGGAUUAGCUGGUAGGUGGGGUAACGGCUCACCUAGGCGACGAUCCCUAGCUGGUCUGAGAGGAUGACCAGCCACACUGGAACUGAGACACGGUCCAGACUCCUACGGGAGGCAGCAGUGGGGAAUAUUGCACAAUGGGCGCAAGCCUGAUGCAGCCAUGCCGCGUGUGUGAAGAAGGCCUUCGGGUUGUAAAGCACUUUCAGCGGGGAGGAAGGCGNUNAGGUUAAUAACCUNNUCGAUUGACGUUACCCGCAGAAGAAGCACCGGCUAACUCCGUGCCAGCAGCCGCGGUAAUACGGAGGGUGCAAGCGUUAAUCGGAAUUACUGGGCGUAAAGCGCACGCAGGCGGUCUGUCAAGUCGGAUGUGAAAUCCCCGGGCUCAACCUGGGAACUGCAUUCGAAACUGGCAGGCUAGAGUCUUGUAGAGGGGGGUAGAAUUCCAGGUGUAGCGGUGAAAUGCGUAGAGAUCUGGAGGAAUACCGGUGGCGAAGGCGGCCCCCUGGACAAAGACUGACGCUCAGGUGCGAAAGCGUGGGGAGCAAACAGGAUUAGAUACCCUGGUAGUCCACGCUGUAAACGAUGUCGAUUUGGAGGUUGUGCCCUUGAGGCGUGGCUUCCGGAGCUAACGCGUUAAAUCGACCGCCUGGGGAGUACGGCCGCAAGGUUAAAACUCAAAUGAAUUGACGGGGGCCCGCACAAGCGGUGGAGCAUGUGGUUUAAUUCGAUGCAACGCGAAGAACCUUACCUGGUCUUGACAUCCACAGAACUUUCCAGAGAUGGAUUGGUGCCUUCGGGAACUGUGAGACAGGUGCUGCAUGGCUGUCGUCAGCUCGUGUUGUGAAAUGUUGGGUUAAGUCCCGCAACGAGCGCAACCCUUAUCCUUUGUUGCCAGCGGUUAGGCCGGGAACUCAAAGGAGACUGCCAGUGAUAAACUGGAGGAAGGUGGGGAUGACGUCAAGUCAUCAUGGCCCUUACGACCAGGGCUACACACGUGCUACAAUGGCAUAUACAAAGAGAAGCGACCUCGCGAGAGCAAGCGGACCUCAUAAAGUAUGUCGUAGUCCGGAUUGGAGUCUGCAACUCGACUCCAUGAAGUCGGAAUCGCUAGUAAUCGUAGAUCAGAAUGCUACGGUGAAUACGUUCCCGGGCCUUGUACACACCGCCCGUCACACCAUGGGAGUGGGUUGCAAAAGAAGUAGGUAGCUUAACCUUCGGGAGGGCGCUUACCACUUUGUGAUUCAUGACUGGGGUGAAGUCGU